rnacentral:rRNA from 1 species
UACAGAGGUCCCAAGCGUUGUUCGGAUUCACUGGGCGUAAAGGGCGCGUAGGCGGCUCAUGAAGGCUGUGGUGAAAGUCCGGGGCUCAACCUCGGAUCGGCCGUGGCGACUCGUGGGCUGGAGCACUGUAGAGGCGGGUGGAAUUCCGGGUGUAGCGGUGGAAUGCGUAGAGAUCCGGAAGAACACCAGUGGCGAAGGCGGCCCGCUGGGCAGUGGCUGACGCUGAGGCGCGACAGCGUGGGGGAGCAAACAGG